rfam:Prochlorococcus marinus subsp. marinus str. CCMP1375 complete genome.
GGAGAGUUGGUCGAGUGGUUUAUGGCUCUAGUCUUGAAAACUAGCAAGGGUGCAAGUCCUUCGGGGGUUCGAAUCCCCCACUCUCCG